rnacentral:rRNA from 1 species
CCCGGGUCUUGUACACACCGCCCGUCACACCACGGGAGUUGGAGACGCCCGAAGCCGAUUAUCUAACCUUUUGGAAGAAGUCGUCGAAGGUGGAAUCAAUAACUGGGGUGAAGUCGUAACAAGGUAGCCGUAUCGGAAGGUGCGGCUGGAUCACCUCCUUUCUAAGGAGAAUU